ensembl:lncRNA
GCAUGCGCAGACAGAGUCCGCAAGCAGCGGGCCUUGACCUUUCGGGAAAAAAAACUCUUUCUCACGGACGGUGACAGCGAAACGGAUAACAGUCUUCAGUACCUGCUGGACUUUGAAGCUCCGAAUUCUGGGACUGUUGGAAAAGAGGCAGCGGCGAGAGGGGAGACCUCGGCUCAUCCAGCUGGAGAGCCUGACCAGGAGGAGUCGAACAUUAACUCAGCUCUUCCAGGGCACCCUGCAGACUCGGCUGUUGGCAUCGACGAGGGAUGACGUGAACGCCAAACUGGAGUCCAUCACAGGUCAACUGCAGCUCCUUGUCUCAGAGUAGGAGGGAUUUGAAGCACAAAGGGAGGAACUUGUCGUUUGGUUGGCUGAUAUGGAUGAGGUUGACCAGCUGACAGGAAGCACCAGUGAAAAACUGAAACAACUGCAGGUGUGGGC